AUUGAACGCUGGCGGCAGGCCUAACACAUGCAAGUCGAACGAGUUGCGGAAGGGUGAGUAAUGUCUGGGAAACUGCCUGAUGGGGUGGGAUAACUACUGGAAACGGUAGCUAAUACCGCAUACCCUCAGAUGUACCCAGAUGGGCUUUGCUGGUUGGUGGGUUAACGGUUCACCAAGGCGACGUUCCCUAGCUGGUCUGAGAGCAUGACCAGCGACGCGUGAGCUGAUGCACGGUCCAGAGUCCUACGGGAGGCAGCAGUGGGGAGUAUUGCACAAGUGGCGCAAGCCUGAUACAGGCAUGCCGCUGGUAUGAAUAAGGCCUUCGGGUUGUAAAGUACUUUCAGCGGGGAGGCGUUACCCGCAGAAGAAGCACCGGCUAACUCCGUGCCAGCAGCCGCGGUAAUAC
rnacentral:rRNA from 1 species